rnacentral:rRNA from 1 species
AUUGAACGCUGGCGGCAGGCCUAACACAUGCAAGUCGAGCGGGGUUUUCGGACCUAGCGGCGGACGGGUGAGUAAUGCGUAGGAAGCUACCCGAUAGAGGGGGAUACCAGUUGGAAACGACUGUUAAUACCGCAUAAUGUCUACGGACCAAAGUGUGGGACCUUCGGGCCACAUGCUAUCGGAUGCGCCUACGUGGGAUUAGCUAGUUGGUGAGGUAAUGGCUCACCAAGGCGACGAUCUCUAGCUGGUUUGAGAGGAUGAUCAGCCACACUGGAACUGAGACACGGUCCAGACUCCUACGGGAGGCAGCAGUGGGGAAUAUUGGACAAUGGGCGCAAGCCUGAUCCAGCCAUGCCGCGUGUGUGAAGAAGGCCUCGGUUGUAAGACACUUCUAGCGA